AAUAUUACCUUAAAACCAAUAAAAGGGUAAAUAAACAAUAAAUGUGAUGCAGCCAAAUAAAUAACAUUAGGCAUUAAUUAAGUAAUUUCUGUGAGUUUAUUUUGUGUGCUACUCCUUUAAUAAGUGCAGCAGUAACAGCCAAUCAGAGUGAUUCUAGCGCCGCUUGCUGGAGAGAGAGAAAAACAGAGCGAGAGCAGUAGACCGUGAGAAGUAAAACAACAGAGAAGUCCGAAAACCGAGUGAGGAGAGACUGAGAUAAAAGAGUAAAAAAGGACUGUAAAACCUAAAUUCUUUUCCAUAUUUUGGAGGAUCUUUGUUGCUUUUUGGUCCACAUUGCUGGAUUCUGUUUUUGUUGCUUUGAACAAGGAUUUGGCCAGGUUUUUUUGUCGGGAGGAGCUGCUUGGUGUUUAUGCACGUGGAGCGGGGAAAGAAGAUGGCGAGCCACCCAUAGGAGAAACUGCGUCGGAUACGGAUCUGUUUCCACAAGACCAACAUAUAUUCGAGGGACACUGAUUCAUUCACCUGAAUCGUGGUAGGACUGAAACUUUAUUAUUUUGCUGCAGUGUGCAGUGAAGCUCAUCUGGACUCUUAAAGGACUUAACAAAGGGACUAAUUUAAGUUGUGAGAUUGAGUUGUAGAUGAUUGCUGAUUUGUGAAGUUGUGUUCCAAAUCUGAAUUUUGUGGUAUUGUAAUUUUCAUUAUUUUGCCGAAUUGGUGAUGCAAAUGUUUUUCUUUUGGUUUUUUUGUAAACUAAAACCCAAAAACCUAUUGGUUAAGUGGACUAAAGAGAAGGUGAGACAAAAACUCUUAAGAUAGGCCUUACUAAGAUAAAAUGGGAACUUAAAGCUGAGUUAACUCAAUGAGAAAACGAGGGACUAAAUAACAACUUAAAGGAUUCUAAGUUGAAAAUUAUUUUGAACUCAACUAGAUUUAACGCAAACCAAAGAGAGGUAAAAAUAGGAGGAAUAACACGUCUCCUGAGAGCUGGACAUUAUAAAUGUGAAAUAUUUCCAAGAAACUGAGGGUAUAUUUUCUUUUUUCUUUUCGUGUAUGUGUGUGAUUUGGUGCCACCUGUGUAUGUUUACUACUAACUCUUCUAUAUAAAUAAGCCGGCAGUUCAAACUUA